CCUACGGGAGGCAGCAGUCGAGAAUUAUUCACAAUGGGGGAAACCCUGAUGGUGCGACGCCGCGUGGGGGAAUGAAGGUCUUCGGAUUGUAAACCCCUGUCAUGUGGGAGCAAAUUAAAAAGAUAGUACCACAAGAGGAAGAGACGGCUAACUCUGUGCCAGCAGCCGCGGUAAUACAGAGGUCUCAAGCGUUGUUCGGAAUCACUGGGCGUAAGGCGUGCGUAGGCUGUUUCGUAAGUCGUGUGUGAAAGGCGCGGGCUCAACCCGCGGACGGCACAUGAUACUGCGAGACUAGAGUAAUGGAGUGGGAACCGGAAUUCUCGGUGUAGCAGUGAAAUGCGUAGAUAUCGAGAGGAACACUCGUGGCGAAGGUGGGUUCCUGGACAUUAACUGACGCUGAGGCACGAAGGCCAGGGGAGCGAAAGGGAUUAGAUACCCUUGUAGUC
rnacentral:rRNA from 1 species